rnacentral:rRNA from 1 species
CCUACGGGUGACUGCAGUGAGGAAUAUUGGUCAAUGGACGCAAGUCUGAACCAGCCAUGCCGCGUGCAGGAUGACGGCUCUAUGAGUUGUAAACUGCUUUUGUACGAGGGUAAACCCCGAUAAGUGUAUCGGGUUGAAAGUAUCGUACGAAUAAGGAUCGGCUAACUCCGUGCAAGCAGCGGCGGUAAUACGGAGGAUCCGAGCGUUAUCCGGAUUGAUUGGGUUUAAAGGGUGCGUAGGCGGUUUGAUAAGUUAGAGGUGAAAUGUCGGGGCUCAACCCCGAAACUGCCUCUAAUACUGUUGGACUAGAGAAUAGUUGCGGUAGGCGGAAUGUAUGGUGUAGCGGUGAAAUGCUUAGAGAUCAUACAGAACACCGAUUGCGAAGGCAGCUUACCAAACUAUAUCUGACGUUGAGGCACGAAAGCGUGGGUAGCAAACAGGAUUAGAUACCCUUGUAGUC